rnacentral:rRNA from 1 species
GCUUAACACAUGCAAGUCGAACGGUAACAGGUCUUUCGGGAUGCUGACGAGUGGCGAACGGGUGAGUAAUGUAUAGUUAAUUUGCCUCUUGGAGAGGGAUAGCCACUGGAAACGGUGAUUAAUACCUCAUACUCCUAUUACUGUAAGAGUAAUAGGGAAAUGCUUUAUUGUGCCAAGAGAUAAGACUAUAUCCUAUCAGCUAGUUGGUAGUAUAAGAGACUACCAAGGCAAUGACGGGUAGCUGGUCUGAGAGGAUGGUCAGCCACACUGGAACUGAGACACGGUCCAGACUCCUACGGGAGGCAGCAGUGGGGAAUAUUGGGCAAUGGGCGAAAGCCUGACCCAGCGACGCCGCGUGGAGGAAGAAGGCCUUCGGGUCGUAAACUCCUGUCAGAGGGGAAGAAGGCGGCAGGGCUAAUACCCCUGCUUGCUUGACGGUACCCUCAGAGGAAGCACCGGCUAACUACGUGCCAGCAGCCGCGGUAAUACGGAGGGUGCAAGCGUUACUCGGAAUCACUGGGCGUAAAGGACGCGUAGGCUGGUUUGCAAGUCAGGGGUGAAAGCCUACGGCUUAACCGUAGAACUGCUCUUGAAACUGCUUACCUAGAGUAUGGGAGAGGUAGAUGGAAUUAGUGGUGUAGGGGUAAAAUCCGUAGAGAUCACUAGGAAUACCGAUUGCGAAGGCGAUCUACUGGAACAUUACUGACGCUGAGGCGUGAAAGCGUGGGGAGCAAACAGGAUUAGAUACCCUGGUAGUCCACGCCCUAAACGAUGUACACUAGUUGUUGCCAUGCUAGUCAUGGCAGUAAUGCAGCUAACGCAUUAAGUGUACCGCCUGGGGAGUACGGUCGCAAGAUUAAAACUCAAAGGAAUAGACGGGGACCCGCACAAGCGGUGGAGCAUGUGGUUUAAUUCGAAGAUACGCGAAGAACCUUACCUGGGCUUGACAUCCCAAGAAUCGGCCAGAGAUGGUUGAGUGCCCCUUCGGGGGAGCUUGGUGACAGGUGCUGCACGGCUGUCGUCAGCUCGUGUCGUGAGAUGUU